CCUACGGGAGGCUGCAGUGAGGAAUAUUGGUCAAUGGGCGCGAGUCUGAACCAGCCAAGUAGCGUGAAGGAUGACUGCCCUACGGGCUGUAAACUUCUUUUAUAAAGGAAUAAAGUGAGUCACGUGUGCCUUUUUGUAUGUACUUUAUGAAUAAGGAUCGGCUAACUCCGUGCCAGCAGCCGCGGCAAUAUGGUGGGUCCGAGCGUUAACCGGAUUUAUUGGGCUUAAAGGGAGCGUAGGUGGGUUGUUAAGUCAGUUGUGAAAGUUUGGGGCUCAACCGGAAAAUUGCAAUUGAUACUGGCAGACUUGAGUGCGGUAGAGGUAGGUGGAAUUCGUGGUGUAGCGGUGAAAUGCUUAGAUAUCACGAAGAACACCGAUUGCGAAGGCAGCUAACUGGACUGCAACUGACACUGAGGCUCGAAAGUGUGGGUAUCAAACAGGAUUAGAUACCCUAGUAGUC
rnacentral:rRNA from 1 species